rnacentral:sRNA from 2 species
UUGGGGAGUAGCUACCCGCUUCUAGCGGGGCCAUCGUCAACACGCUUGAUCUUUCGGGGUCGUGGCGGUGGCAGCAAACGAGCGUUUGCUCAGCAAGACCAACGACGCGCUGUCCCUAUGUGUGGCCGGGGAUGUGUGCGUUUGUUGGUUGUUGGCCCCGAGUUUG